rnacentral:lncRNA from 1 species
CACAUCUCAUAAGAAGACUUAUCAAAAUUUUUAUAGAAAAUCUGAUUUAAAAUUUUACAAACUAUUAAUAAUGCCUCUCCCCACAAAUUAUUUUUUUGAUGAAACUCUCCCCAUAAAUUGUUGAGUUGGUCAAAACUAGCCAAUAUGGUAUUUACCAUAUCAAGAUAUGUUCAAUUCUUCCUCUCAGCAACCCUAUUAGAUUUGAGAGCAUGAGAAGUAGUAAUUUCAUAGAUUAUAUCC